UGGGGAAUUUUGCACAAUGGGGGAAACCCUGAUGCAGCGACGCCGCGUGAUUUAGAAGGCCUUCGGGUUGUAAAAAUCUUUUGUAUGGGAAGAAAAUGACAGUACCAUACGAAUAAGGACCGGCUAAUUACGUGCCAGCAGCCGCGGUAAUACGUAAGGUCCGAGCGUUGUCCGGAAUCAUUGGGCGUAAAGAGUUCGCAGGCGGCAAGGCAAGUCAGAUGUAAAAGGCAAAGGCUCAACCUUUGUAAGCAUCUGAAACUGUAUAGCUUGAGAAGUGUGGAGGCAAGUGUAAUUUUUAGUGUAGCGGUGAAAUGCGUAGAUAUUAAAAAGAAUACCGGUGGAGAAGGCGACUUGCUGGGAACAAUCUGACGCUGAGGAACGAAAGCGUGGGGAGCAAACAGG
rnacentral:rRNA from 1 species